UCUUAAUGAAUCCUUCAGAACGGUUCAUGUGACCUGGUUGAACUAAUUCACUGAAAAGAUUCGAAUCACGUUAACGAUUCUUUCACGAAUCGGACAACGAUUUAAAGCGCUGAGACUUACGGGACAAAAAAUUUGUUUAGUGUUGGGAUGAAGUAAUACAUUUAGGAGCUCAGAGCACAGAGCUAUUUAAUUAAGACGGGCUGAAUUCGCAGGAUUACACAAAGUCUCACUUCUUGAAAUCACAAAUCAUUCGAAUCAGUUCGCCAGUUUCCCAACCCCUGCAGUCCAGAUCUGCAAACAGGCACCUCCCGUCCUCAUUUCGUCCAGAGGCGAACUUUCCAUUUCACUGGAGGUUAGAUGCGCUUUACACGAGCAGUCGAGGAAAAUGGCUUGUACUGUCGGUGGUCAGAUCAUACCGCAGUUAAACGUGGAGGAGGCGACGGAGGACAGCAGCCCGUCCAGGAGCACCUCCACCCGGCGGAGCAAAACCUCCUUCUCCCCGUUCAGCUCGAGGAAACAUCAGAGUUUGACGGCGACCUCUCAGUUGUGCGGAGAGAAAAGUGGAGGCUGUUGGCACACACGUUGAUGUGUUGUUUCACACGGUUGGGGUCAGGUAACGGUAAAGCCUUUUUAUCCAAAUGCUGUGCAUGUCCAGGUUAUUGUAUGCAUGUAAAUGAAUCUUAUAGGGUUGGGGUUGACAUGCAUGUUGCUGUGGGACUGUAGUUCACUUUCACUUCUCUGUGUGUGUUGAUGGAGCAUGACUUCAGAGUGAAUUCCUCCACUGCUCUGGAGUGCAAUCAGUAUGUAACACUCAAAAAUUCAUGCACAUCUUUAAUGAAGGUCAUGUUUUGAACCGUCCUCUGAAGGCUCAGGAAUGGAACAUGUUAGUUCAACUGCCUGAGGAGGAAGAGAAUAUUUUCUUCUUUUUUUAGACCAGUAUCAAGAAUCCGUCCGAUGCCCUGGGAAGUCUUGUAUCCAUAAAAAGCAGCGCAUUGUUCUGAUGGACUUUAUCGUUUGGCUCGUUACCUCUCUCCCCGUCUCUCUUCAGCCUUUUGAGACUCUGCGUUAUUCUGCAUCAUGCUGGGCAAACACAUUUCAAACCCUCUGGCAGCUUCUUCUUGCAUAUUCAUGAGAUCACAUGUUUCUGUCCCUGAAUGCAGGGCUAAUGUCUGUGGCCUCCCGCUGAGGUCAUUGUGUCCACGUCUCGGGUGCCCAGCUGUCGGAGACAGGGACGGUCCUGUGUCCAAGCAGAUGAGUUGACUUGAGAUAGAUAUCACUGCACCUCUGGCAUUGCUUAUCAUUUUGAUAAUGCCUUUUCAUAACGUUAUCGUAUUGUUUACCUAAAGGACGUUUUCUAUAAUGGAAGACUGGUGAUGUGACAUUCAACAGAAGGGCCUUCUGGAGGGCUUUAAAUGUGCAAAAAUGUUUUUGUCCAAGUAAUGUCAAAAUUUAUUUAUAUAGUGCUUUUUACAGUAUGCAUGAUUUUAAAUCAGCUUUACAAAAAAAAUCAUCUUAUCAAAUUAUCUUAUCUUCAUGUUUUAGCAGAUAAGAUAUGGCUCAUAUUAUAGUUGACAUCUUACAAAGAUACAAGCAUUCAAGCAGUAUAUAGUAUAUAUGACUUUUUUAAUGGAGUCUCUUAUGCUCACCGAGGCUGUAUUUGUUUGAUCAAAAAUACAGAAAAACUUUUGAAAUUUUAUUGAACAAAUUUCUAUUUAAUAACCUUUCUUUUUAACUUUUAAUUUAUCAAUCUGAAAAAGUAUAGGUCCCAAAAAAUAUUAAGCAGCACAACUGUUUCCAAUAUUGAUUCUAAAUCAGCAUAUUAGCAUGAUUUCUGAAGGAUCAAAUGUUCAGAAGACCUUAGCUUGUAUGUGAAAAUGAACACAUUUAUUUAAAUGUCUACGGGGUUCAAUUUAUUGAUUUAUACUUAUUUAUUAAAAAAAAAAUUGCAUACAAAAAUUUCAAUUCUGUCAUCAUUUACUGACACCUGUCAUCAUACAAACCUGUAUGCCUUUCUUGUUUCUAUGGAAUAGUUUUUUUCCUUCCCCAUUUUGUCCAGUGUUGUUUUGACCCACACUGCAUUUCAUUUUAUGGGCAAAAACAGUUCAAAAUAGUGCUAUUGUGCAGUCAAUGAUUUGUCCUGAUUAUAUUUCACCCGGUGCUGAAUAGACCUUGAUUUCUCUACAGGGGGACCGUUUCAUAACAUUUAGAAGUCACACAACUGUAAUGGUUGAAUUAUAUUUCGCUACUCACGCUGACAAUAUUUUUACAUUCUCUUCUUGUCUAUGAUGUGCUUUGUGUUAAAUUAACACUGAUUUUUUUUUACAAUGCAGGAGCUGUUAAAUGCUCCAGGUUAGCUCAUUUAUAAAAUGACAUCAAACAAAUGGCAUUUCUGAUGAUUUUCGCAUUGUAUGUGCAUAUUUGCAUUUAAAGUUAAUGAUUAAAUGCCGCAGCAUUUUACCAACUAGCGGCUUUCUAAAGUGAGCCUGGUCUUUUCAAGCGUGACUCAGAAUUGACAAACGUAUUCAGUAAGCGCUGUCAAUCAAAUGUACUUCAGCUCCCAGCAAUCAUGUAUUCCAGAGCCCGGCUGCUUUGUUUUUUUAAAUGCAAGGUUGGCUUGUCAAAAACUAAACAAAGCAUUGCAUUGCAGACCAUUGCUCUUUUGCAGCUCAUGCUGGGACAUUUUUAGGUUCAUGCUCACACAUUCCGCUUCUAACUUGUUAUUCAUCAGUAUGGUUGGAGACUCCCAAAGCUUCCCUUUUUAAGUACCCAAAACAUCACUUUAGACUUUGAGAAUGGUUGUCAUGGUAACGUUGCAUUAAGUAGUAUGUUUUCUUAUGAUUGGACAGAGCUUGGUUGCAAAGAGGCAAAAACUCAAACCGCCCCCUUGCUUCAUUCAAGUCAGAAAAAAUGUUGUGUAAGUUUGUUGAACUUGUCAUCAGAAAUCAGCAUCAGGAUGUGCAUGCAUGUAUUUGCAGCUGUAGAAUUUAUAAGUGGGUAGGCUAGUUGAUAAAUAGAAUGAACAUUCUUUUUUAAGUUGAAGCUUAUUUGAAUAUAUUAGAGAAAAUCUGUCAUUUUAGAUAAUCACCAUUUGCUUCCUUUUUUCAGUUUUGCAGUAUUGCAAUAGUCUUGCAGUGUAAAAUAAAUUUAAAAAGUUUUCAAUUAUUAAUUACGUAUUACUUAAUAUAAAAUCAUACUAAAACCAUAUUUUUUUUGAAGUUUAAAAAAUAAAUAAAUAAAAUGAGUGUUAACUAAAAUUAAAAUGAAUAAAAAUAGCUGGUAUUAUUUUAAAUAAGGCUGAAAUAAAAUAAGCAUAUUAGAUGAAAAACUAAACCUUAAAACUUAGAAAUGUUACCUCGGCAACUAAAUGAAAUGAAGGUACUAAAAUUACUAAAACUGAAAUAAGUAAAUUCAAGCUAAAUAAAAAAAAGAACAGAUGACAAAAGAACAAAAUUACUAAAACUAAGAAGACUGUAACCAAAAAUAUUAAAAUUAAAGCUUAUAUAUGUGUAUAUAACUAUAUGUUUAUACUAACAGUGCUACUAAUACUUUCUGCUCCACUCUUACAUCUUGUUUAGACACUGUUUGCCCCUUGUCUUCCAGGCCAGCCCGUACCACCCCUUCAGCCCCUUGGUUAUCUGAUGUUCUACGCGAACAUCGUUCUAAGCUUAGAGCUGCUGAAAGCGUGUGGCGUAAAUCUAAAAAUACUACUGACCUUAAUGUGUAUCAGUCACUCCUCUCUUCCUUUUCUGCUAAUGUCUCCACUGCUAAAAGGACAUACUACCAUAACAAAAUUAACAAUUCGUCUAACUCUCGCAUGCUUUUUAAAACAUUUUCCUC
ensembl:lncRNA